rnacentral:tRNA from 1 species
AAAUCAAUUAGUUGUUUGGUUCGACUCAUAAUCGAUUGGUCACUGGUUCAAGUCCAGUAGGGGCCACCA